AGGAUACCGUGCGCUUGUUGCUCUUCUCGGGAUUCAGCUACAACCUUAUAAAAAAACAUUUCACUAAGAUGGAAAAGGCAGCAAGCAGAAACAGGCAUUUCUUUCUCUUUUACUUCCUCUCCCUGCAAACUUUUCUUUCUUUUCCCACAGUUUUUGUCUCCCCCAGCACCACCUCCUCCUGUUGGAAAUUACCUUUAAGACAAAGAGGCUAUGUGUUGCGACAUGGCAUGCUUACUGUACCACGUGCCUGUUGGGAUUUUCAGAACACAACCUUCCAGGCAUGGCUGCACAGCACUGAAUAGUGAUGGAUAGUUUCUGCAAGGAUUCAGAAGCUAAACGGAGAGCACAGAAGAUAAAGAAAAUACCUCCUAUUUUGUCAAGGCCAAAUCAGCCAAGGUGAUAUUCUGACAUUUUUAAAACAACUUAACAAAAAGCAUGUGGGACUGUGCCAAUAACCAGGAAAAUAAUGACACCUGUGAUGAAAUUCCCAAGCAUUUCUGAAUGAAAUAAUUACAUUUCAAGUCACAGACCAAGAGGUAGAGUCCCUGGUCCGAAUUUCCCUCACGUGACCACAGGCCCUGCAAAACAGCAGAAUACUUUCCAUGCAGUCCUGACACUCUGGGGAUUAGGGAAGGUAAUUCUACAAAGACCAGGCCUUGCGCUCUCCUCCUCAUCCUUCACUGACUGAUAUGUAGGGGAAGUGAGACCCUGACCUACUCGUGACUGGCGGAAAUUGCUCUGACCUCUCAGCAAUUUUGGGAGGAAGCCAGACCUGGCACAUUGCUGCACUGGCGCUGUGGCAGUCUCUUCUGACCCCGAGGACCUUUGGCUGGCCCACCCCCUUUAGCCAUUUACACUCACACACACACACACACACACACACACACACACACACACACACACACACACACACACACACACACACACACAGCUCCUGCUAGAUGGAUUGGGUUACCUCUUAGAGGCAAUGGCUGCCUCUGUUUUGCAUCCUCUCCUCUAUUUUGGUCCCGGGAGCCGGGGAGUGCCCCAGUCAUUAACACCAGCAGCCCGCCUGUACAGUCAGCUAAAAGGUCUGCAUUCAUGAGGGACAUCCUGCAAACCAGAUGUGCUUUUGUGGCAAGAAUAUGUGUGCAUGCAAAGGCCCUGGAAUCAAAUGCAUCCUGGAGCAAAGGAUCAAGCCCUGCAUGUGUGUGCCCGAGCCCUCAGGGUCCAAGCGGUGCACAGGUCAUGAAAGAUAAAGUGAAGGUUGUUCAGGGAGGGGGUCUCCCGUAUGCAGACACACUUAGUAAAAAAAAUAAAAAUGCCAUUAUUGUUUAAUAUGACAGAUAAUUGUUCUUGAAACGAACAUUUCAGGACCAGAUAUUUGUAAAUGUUUAAGUACACAGAUUCUAUUCCGACUCUCUAGGGAAUUGUCCAAAUUGCACACUGUGAUCAGUCACUCUUGCAAACUUGUAUUAAUGUCACCUACUAAAAAAGGUCACUAGAAAGGACUUUAACGAAUCAAUUAAUGACAGGUAUGUGGGUUUACUUUUUCAGGACUGACAGUGUGUUUCAAAACUCCAGCAAGUAACACCCCAACAUUGACAUGAUAGCAAAAAUGAAUAUAUAUAUAUAUAUAUAUAUAUAUAUAUAUAUAUAUACAAAUAUUUAUAGAUUUAUAAAUAAACUUGCCUAACAUUAACAUAACUGACAGGUAAUGCGUGCAACACUGCUCAUCUUGGUACAACAGUGUUAUACUGGCAAAAACCUGCAUUGACAUGGUUGUUACUUUGACACUAGCCUUCUACUUAUACAUUUUUGAAGACCAAUUACACUUUGCACAUGGCAACAGCAUUCCCCUGCAGUAGCACCUCCAGUUGCUUCUACCCCUUUCCAGAGGGACAACAUUGGACUUAUCCUGGAAUAGCAAGCUGGUGCCAUCUGUGAGAAGACAUGACAUAUCCCCAGAGAACCCAUCCAAUAAUUCAGAGGAACCAAAGAAUCUAUUGCUAACAUCCUUGGGCAAGACACCCUUGGAUGUUCUUUGUCCAUACAAUGCCGUGUUUAUAUGCCUUGAACUUAGAGCCACAAACUUUCAGGUAUUUUGGAGUGCUUUUACAUGACAGAGAAACAUAAAGUAGUGCAUGGUUUUGAAGUGAAAGGAAGAAGACACAUGGUUUUCAAGUAAAUUUGUGAAAAAGUGUGGCAUGUAUUUGUAUUCAUCCCCACUGAGCCAUUACUUUGUUAAAGCAGUUUCGGAGCAUUUCUCUACAGUCUUUGCAAAUCUAGAGUUAAAACUCUCAGCCCAUCCCUCUUUGCAACAAUAGCUCAAGCUCAGUCAGAUUCAAUUGAGAGCAUGUGAAUAGAUUCUCAUUUCCAAAAGUUGCCACAGAUUCUUAGAUUUACGUUUUGACUUUCAGCCAUUCUGACUCAUGAAUGUUUUAAACUAAACCAUUCCAGUGUAGAUUUGGUGUCUGUUCAUGCUGCUGGUGGUGUUGGGUACUCAAGACCGGUUUUGAGACCACAUGUUCAAAGUUAAUUUUUUGUCAAGGUCAGUAAAGAACACAAUUAAAGCAUCCUUUUUAUGCUGCAAGUUAGUCUGAGAUUUUGAAUAUUAUGAAUAUAUUUGAAAAUAUUUUUGACUCCAAAUUUUAAAUGCUGCCCCAUGUGCCAAGGAUAAGAUGAGGGAAAUGUGUAAACAAGAGGGAAAAACAUUUUCCUGUGCAAAUAUAUGGAUGUUUUUCUGUCUGUGUUCAAGCUUCCUCUACACCUGUCAUCGCCACUCACUCUGCCUGCAGCUAAUGCUAAGUCAGUUAAUGUUUAGCUGAAUGUAGGCACAGUCUGCUUUGUUUGUUCGACUUUUUACCAGCUUGUCAGGUUUAUUGGACAAGGGGCAUGCAGCUGAGGGCCUGAUUACAUAGACGUUUGGGUUUACCUAAAUGGUUUGGCAGUGCUCCGAACUGAAAAAUUUAGGUGCACCAGUGCAACCAGUUAGUCUGAAGCCAACAGCCAAUUCAGUCAACUUUCACUAUAUUCUAUUUGUGUGGCAGCCAUAUUGAAUAUAAAACUCUGGUUUGAAUCAUAAAAGCUCCAUUUUGGUCUUCUCUGGCCAGCGCACUUUCUUCUAUAUGUCUGGUGUGACAAUUCUUGCUCUCCAAAACUGCUCUUUAGAGAAACUCUCCAUCCAGUCUGACUGUCCAUAAAGACAUGCUGCUGUAAUUGUAGGAAUGGGUGGUCAUAUAAACUAUUGAAGCAGGGCUGAUGAAUACAUUUCUUUUUGUAAAAAAAGAAAAUAAUAUUCCUUCCACUUUACGAUGUGUGCUAUUUGUCUUGGUCUAUUGAAUAAAAUGACCAUAAAGUUUAUGAUUGUAUAUUGACAAAAAGGUGAAAAGUCUAAGAGGUAAUACUGCUGUAACGCACUAUAUUCGGACGGGUUGGAGAUGUUUUGGUGCCAAGAAGACUGUCGAUAUCACUGAGGUAAUUUUCACUGGCUAAUUUCAUACAUGGGAAUACUGCUGAAUGUAAGUUAUUAAACACAGCAGGAUACUGUGAAAUACUUUCAAGAUUGCUAAUAAAAGAGUUUUAAUUUGUGUCUCUAA